UUGAAGAGUUUGAUCAUGGCUCAGAUUGAACGCUGGCGGCAGGCCUAACACAUGCAAGUCGAACGGUAACAGGAAACAGCUUGCUGUUUCGCUGACGAGUGGCGGACGGGUGAGUAAUGUCUGGGAAACUGCCCGAUGGAGGGGGAUAACUACUGGAAACGGUAGCUAAUACCGCAUAACGUCGCAAGACCAAAGAGGGGGACCUUCGGGCCUCUUGCCAUCGGAUGUGCCCAGAUGGGAUUAGCUAGUAGGUGGGGUAACGGCUCACCUAGGCGACGAUCCCUAGCUGGUCUGAGAGGAUGACCAGCCACACUGGAACUGAGACACGGUCCAGACUCCUACGGGGGGAGGCAGCAGUGGGGAAUAUUGCACAAUGGGCGCAAGCCUGAUGCAGCCAUGCCGCGUGUAUGAAGAAGGCCUUCGGGUUGUAAAAAGUACUUUCAGCGGGGAGGAAGGGAGUAAAGUUAAUACCUUUGCUCAUUGACGUUACCCGCAGAAGAAGCACCGGCUAACUCCGUGCCAGCAGCCGCGGUAAUACGGAGGGUGCAAGCGUUAAUCGGAAUUACUGGGCGUAAAGCGCACGCAGGCGGUUUGUUAAGUCAGAUGUGAAAUCCCCGGGCUCAACCGGGAACUGCAUCUGAUACUGGCAAGCUUGAGUCUCGUAGAGGGGGGGUAGAAUUCGAGGGUGUAGCGGUGAAAUGCGUAGAGAUCUGGAGGAAUACCGGUGGCGAAGGCGGCCCCGGACGACGAAGACUGACGCUCAGGUGCGAAAGCGUGGGGAGCAAACAGGAUUAGAUACCCUGGUAGUCCACGCCGUAAACGAUGUCGACUUGGAGGUUGUGCCCUUGAGGCGUGGCUUCCGGAGCUAACGCGUUAAGUCGACCGCCUGGGGAGUACGGCCGCAAGGUUAAAACUCAAAUGAAUUGACGGGGGCCCGCACAAGCGGUGGAGCAUGUGGUUUAAUUCGAUGCAACGCGAAGAACCUUACCUGGUCUUGACAUCCACGGAAGUUUUCAGAGAUGAGAAUGUGCCUUCGGGAACCGUGAGACAGGUGCUGCAUGGCUGUCGUCAGCUCGUGUUGUGAAAUGUUGGGUUAAGUCCCGCAACGAGCGCAACCCUUAUCCUUUGUUGCCAGCGGUCCGGCCGGGAACUCAAAGGAGACUGCCAGUGAUAAACUGGAGGAAGGUGGGGAUGACGUCAAGUCAUCAUGGCCCUUACGACCAGGGCUACACACGUGCUACAAUGGCGCAUACAAAGAGAAGCGACCUCGCGAGAGCAAGCGGACCUCAUAAAGUGCGUCGUAGUCCGGAUUGAGUCUGCAACUCGACUCCAUGAAGUCGGAAUCGCUAGUAAUCGUGGAUCAGAAUGCCACGGUGAAUACGUUCCCCGGGCCUUGUACACACCGCCCGUCACACCAUGGGAGUGGGUUGCAAAAGAAGUAGGUAGCUUAACCUUCGGGAGGGCGCUUACCACUUUGUGAUUCAUGACUGGGGUGAAGUCGUAACAAGGUAACCGUAGGGGAACCUGCGGUUGGAUCACCUCCUU
rnacentral:rRNA from 1 species